ACGCGAAAGCCCCCUUCGGGGGGCAAGUAGAGUGGCGCACGGGUGAGUAACACGUAGGUAAUCUACCUUUGGAUUGGGAAUAACCACCGGAAACGGUGGCUAAUACCGAAUAAUGCAGCGGCACCUAAUGGUGACAGUUGUUAAAGCGGGGGAUCGCAAGACCUCGCGUCUGAAGAGGAGCCUGCGGCGGAUUAGCUAGUUGGUAAGGUAACGGCUUACCAAGGCGAUGAUCCGUAGCCGGCCUGAGAGGGCGGUCGGCCACACUGACACUGACAUACGGGUCAGACUCCUACGGGAGGCAGCAGUCGGGAAUUUUGGGCAAUGGGCGAAAGCCUGACCCAGCAACGCCGCGUGAAGGAUGAAAUCCCUCGGGAUGUAAACUUCGCAAGAACGGGAAGAAUAAGUAGGGGACAAUACCCUCUACGAUGACGGUACUGUUUGUAAGCUCCGGCUAACUCCGUGCCAGCAGCCGCGGUAAUACGGGGGGAGCAAGCGUUG
rnacentral:rRNA from 1 species